rnacentral:lncRNA from 1 species
AGAAAGAGACCUGGUACUCUGUGGUCCCCAAACUGCAUAUGGGAUAUUAGUCUCAUGCCAAAUGAAUACACCUUCACUAUUGCAGUCACUGAACUUCUCUUGUUCAGAAAUAUAAACCCGCAUGUCAAGAGGCUUGGCUUUUUGGAAGAGAUUGGAGAUCUGAAAAGCUGGGUCAAAAGGAGUGGGCAUUCUCGGGAACUCCUUAACAUCUUCAGUAUUUCAGCCACGCAUUCUUUUGAACAGGGGUGAGUGGGAUGGUGUGAGGAAGUGGUAUGGAGACGGGCAUUAGAAAAUGGGUAUGAAAGCAUGUACUGUAG